rnacentral:rRNA from 1 species
CCUACGGGAGGCAGCAGUGGGGAAUAUUGCACAAUGGGCGAAAGCCUGAUGCAGCAACGCCGCGUGAAGGAAGAAGGCUUUCGAGUCGUAAACUUCUGUCCAAAGGGAAGAAUAAUGACGGUACCUUUGAAGAAAGCCCCGGCUAACUACGUGCCAGCAGCCGCGGUAAUACGUAGGGGGCGAGCGUUAUCCGGAAUUACUGGGCGUAAAGAGUAUGUAGGUGGUUAAGUAAGCGUAGGGUUUAAGGCGACAGCCCAACUGUCGUAUGCCCCGCGAACUGUUUAACUUGAGUACAGGAGGGGAAGGCGGAAUUCCUAGUGUAGCGGUGAAAUGCGUAGAUAUUAGGAGGAACACCAGUGGCGAAGGCGGCCUUCUGGACUGUAACUGACACUGAGAUACGAAAGCGUGGGUAGCAAACAGGAUUAGAUACCCUUGUAGUC